rnacentral:rRNA from 1 species
UACGGAGGGUGCAAGCGUUGUCCGGAUUUAUUGGGUUUAAAGGGUGCGUAGGUGGUCUGAUAAGUCUGGUUUGAAAGUUGGUCGCUUAACGAUCAAGGGUGGCUGGAUACUGUUGGACUUGAAUGGGGUGGCGGUAGCCGGAAUGGGUUGUGUAGCGGUGAAAUGCAUAGAGAUGACCCGGAACACCGAUUGCGAAGGCAGGCUACUACGCCUUAAUUGACACUGAGGCACGAGAGCAUGGGGAGCAAACAGGAUUAGAUACCCUGGUAGUCCAUGCCGUAAACGAUGAUUACUGGCUGUUGGGUUUUCGGAUUCAGUGGCUAAGCGAAAGCGGUAAGUAAUCCACCUGGGGAGUACGCCGGCAACGGUGAA